CAAGAUACAAAGCGAAAUUUUAUUUAUUCCCCAUUUCAUCCUGACAAAAUAGUAUGGUGCUUCAAAUAUUUGUGCAAAUUAAAAUCAGUAUGUCUAAUUAAUAUGAUCUACCGUUCUGUUAAUCAAUUGAAAAAGAUCGGUAAUUGCCAUUCAGUAUCUCAUAUCUAAUUAAUUGUAUUCUAUGUUUACAUAUAAAAAGUACCGGUGAUUUUAGUAAACAAAAUAUGUAUAUUAUCUUAUUUUUUAUGAUAUGAAUCCGUGUGCGCCAGACAGUGCUUUGUUCGAACAAGCGUCAAAUUUGUACAUGCAAUAAAGA
rnacentral:lncRNA from 1 species